UACGUAGGGCGCAAGCGUUGUCCGGAAUUAUUGGGCGUAAAGAGCUCGUAGGCGGCCUGUCGCGUCUGCUGUGAAAUCCCGGGGCUUAACCCCGGGCGUGCAGUGGAUACGGGCUGGCUGGAGGCAGGCAGGGGAGAACGGAAUUCCCGGUGUAGCGGUGAAAUGCGCAGAUAUCGGGAGGAACACCGGUGGCGAAGGCGGAUCUCUGGGCCAUUACUGACGCUGAGGAGCGAAAGCGUGGGGAGCGAACAGG
rnacentral:rRNA from 1 species